UCUUGGUCAUUUAGAGGAAGUAAAAGUCGUAACAAGGUCUCCGUUGGUGAACCAGCGGAGGGAUCAUUACCGAGUUUACAACUCCCAAACCCAAUGUGAACGUUACCAAACUGUUGCCUCGGCGGGAUCUCUGCCCCGGGUGCGUCGCAGCCCCGGACCAAGGCGCCCGCCGGAGGACCAACCAAAACUCUUUUGUAUACCCCCUCGCGGGUUUUUAUAUCUGAGCCAUCUCGGCGCCUCUCGUAGGCGUUUCGAAAAUGAAUCAAAACUUUCAACAACGGAUCUCUUGGUUCUGGCAUCGAUGAAGAACGCAGCGAAAUGCGAUAAGUAAUGUGAAUUGCAGAAUUCAGUGAAUCAUCGAAUCUUUGAACGCACAUUGCGCCCGCCAGUAUUCUGGCGGGCAUGCCUGUCCGAGCGUCAUUUCAACCCUCGAACCCCUCCGGGGGGUCGGCGUUGGGGAUCGGCCCUUUACGGGGCCGGCCCCGAAAUACAGUGGCGGUCUCGCCGCAGCCUCUCCUGCGCAGUAGUUUGCACACUCGCAUCGGGAGCGCGGCGCGUCCAUUGCCGUAAAACACCCAACUUUCUGAAAU
rnacentral:rRNA from 1 species